rnacentral:rRNA from 1 species
UACGUAGGGUGCAAGCGUUAAUCGGAAUACUGGGCGUAAAGCGUGCGCAGGCGGUUGUGUAAGUCAGAUGUGAAAUCCCCGGGCUCAACCUGGGAAUGGCAUUUGAGACUGCACAGCUAGAGUGUGUCAGAGGGGGGUAGAAUUCCACGUGUAGCAGUGAAAUGCGUAGAGAUGUGGAGGAAUACCGAUGGCGAAGGCAGCCCCCUGGGAUAACACUGACGCUCAUGCACGAAAGCGUGGGGAGCAAACAGG